rnacentral:rRNA from 1 species
ACGUAGGUGACCAGCGUUGUCCGGAUUUACUGGGCGUAAAGAGCGCGCAGGCGGUCGUUCAAGUCGAGUGUGAAAGCCCCCGGCUCAACUGGGGAGGGUCACUCGAUACUGAUCGACUCGAAGGCAGGAGAGGGUAGUGGAAUUCCCGGUGUAGUGGUGAAAUGCGUAGAUAUCGGGAGGAACACCAGUGGCGAAGGCGACUACCUGGCCUGUUCUUGACGCUGAGGCGCGAAAGCUAGGGGAGCAAACGGG